rnacentral:misc_RNA from 1 species
GCAGGUGCAUGCAUGGAAGUUGGUGCGAUUCUCAUAUAUCUCCCUCCAUUUUUUUACCUUCCUCUUUUUAGGUCAAAGUAUAAUGUGUUUGAGGCAUUGUCUGGAGAUGUAGUUUGCUAGUGUAUAUUUUCCCAUCUUGAUAGAUAUUUCCUCUCUUAGUUGAUAUUUUACCUUGAAGACAGGGCCACAUAGAUCAUGAUGACUUGUGAGUUAGCUUUAGCAGAAAGUAGCAUUCAUGUUAUUGCUUUUUCAUGUGGAGAACUCUUCCUUGGACAUGUUUUGUUCCCCAAUUUUGAGUUCCAUCAUUUAGUAUGUGCAUCUACUUCUCCAUACAUGCAAUGCACUUAUUUGCGGAUUCAAGUAAACUCUUUUCCAUUGGAUUUUUUUUCCUUGGAAAUUAUAAUUCUGGACUACGAAUUUUUCUUUGGUGAUCAUUUUGCCCCUGCACUCUGUCAUCAGACUUAAUUUGUACCUUGUGAAUUUAACAUAUAAGAUGCUGUUGUUCUAUGGCAGGUAUGUGCGAGAAUGGUUUGCCA